rnacentral:lncRNA from 1 species
UCAAAACAUAAUAAUCGAGGCUAGAGAAGGCAAAGAAUGUAUAGGAAAAUGUUAUAGAUCCCUUACUCGUUCUCUUUCGAUGAUAGAUUCAGAAGAAAGAGCCAACAAAGAAUGCAUAGACCAUAAUGGACUUAGUAGCAAAUGUUCUCCUAAUACUUCCCCUUCUGUGAUUGAUUCAGAAGAAGAAGUAGUACUCAACGAAGAAUAUAUGGAUGGUACUAAAGAACAUAAAAGAAAAUGUCAUUGCAAAUGUCGUAAACAUAAAUCUCCAACUCAUUCACCUUCAAUGAUAGAUUCAGAAGCAGGUGUCAACAAAAACCAUAAAAAAAAAUGUCAUUGCAAAUGUCAUAAAGCUAAAACUCCUAAAUGAAUAUUAUAUUUAAAAUAGAUGUAACUCUUAAAUAUAUUUUCUUCAUAUAAUUAAUAUUAAUAAAAUGAUAUAUUCUCUAUUUUUGUUUGAUAGUGAUGGAAUCAAUUUCCAAAUGACAAUUCUUAAUCUUAUAACAUUAAAUCAUUCAAAUUUUUCGAAGUGUAUGAACGACCUCUAGAAAAGAAUGUGGGAUCCAAAAACCAAAAAAUUGGUUUAGACACAUGACAAUUGUGUGAGUGUUUCUGCACAGAUAAAUUGGAUGAUAAAUCAAGUCGGUUUUGAGGAGGAUUUCAACAAGACUCGAGCUUCACCAUGAGAGAUAACGCCCCGAUCGUCACUUAUCUUAGUGGAUCCCAUGUCCUCUCUCGGCCCAUGGGCCCUCCCGUUCUGACGGCCGGUCCGCUACGUCCGGGAGGGUUUAAAGACUUGUUUACCGAUCCUACAAAUCACCACAUUAUCAUUCCCUGUGUUUUGUCCUCACUCACACAGUUCCGACAAUCAGUUUCCGAAAGGUCACCCAUCCUGAAAUUGCUCUAGUUCAAGCACCAAUAACAUUGGAGUUCUCUAAGGACAGUUGAUCGAAAAGAUAAGUACACUUUGGUGACAUAGGUGGCCAAGUCAAUUCUUUUAAAUCUCUCCGCAUGCACCACCAUAUUUUUGAAACCACAGUGUUACAAUUCACCCCCACUAACAGACCGCAAUGUCCUCGUUGCACACCAAGACCGUCACUCCGACGGUGUGAGCCCUCUUGACUCCACACUCAUCAGAGUUCGGCUCUGAUACCAUUUAUAACGCCCCGACCGUCACUUCUCUUAGUAGGCCCCACGUCUCCUCUCUGCUCGUGGGCCCACCCGUGUAUGACUGUCGGUCUGCUACGUCCGAGAGGCUUGAAAGACUUGUUUAUCGACCCUACAAAUCACCACAUGAUCUUUACCUUUGUUUUUUCCUCACUCACACAGUUCCGACAAUCACUUCCCGAAAAAUCACCCAUCCUGAAAUUGUUCCAGUUCAAGCACCCUUAACUUUGGAGUUCUCUCAGGAAAGUUGACCGAAAAGAUAAGUGCACUUUGGUAACAUAGAUGGCCAAGUCAAUUCUUUUAAACCUCUUGGCAUGCACCACCAUAUUCCUGAAACUGGGGUAUUACAAGAGAGUUGACUAUUUGGAAUAUUUUGUUUAUGAUAUAGUUGAACCUCAUGGAAGUUGCUUACGCACCCAUGUAAAAGGAUCAAGCAUUCAAAAUUCAUACUAAAAAAGUUUUCUAGGUUUUUGUGUGAGAGAUUUCAUCCAAAGAGAUGCUUCUCUCUUUAUAUGAACAUGUAGUCAGUUUCGAGAUAUGUACAACUUCCUUAUUUAUCGAACAUAGAUAUGUAUCUUUUCCUCUUUCUUGGAUUCUUAACUUAUCUUCUUAGAAGAUAAAGGAAAAUCUUCUUAACUUAUCAUAAGACUCAUAACUGAAAAUAAAGUCUUCUCUAUAUUAGACAAAAGGAGUUAUAACUGAAAAACAAAAUCUGUUCUAUAUUGAUAAAAUCUAAUAUUUUCAAUAAAUUAAAAAUAAAACUGUUUAAAUAAAGUAAUGCCCAAAUCCCAAUAGGAUACUAUAGCUCUGAUUUUAUUAUUUUCAAAAUCUGUGAAUUUAUUAUAAUAAUUGUAUUUGUGAAAAGUAAUUGUAUUUUUGAAAAAAUAGACUUUGUAUCUUGGAUCAUUGAAUGAGUGUCAUAAUUAAAAAUAAAAAAUCUAGAUAUAUACAAAAUCUGAAAUUUAAAGUACUUUAAAAAAAAUUGUUUUUCCAUCCCAUAUAUAAAUGGACUCAAGACUAGCUAAUUCUCUCACAAUCCAUACUCAUCAAGCAUCCAAAUACAAACAUUGUUUAGCUAUGACCAACAUUUACGUUAGGACCGCUUUUCUUCUCUCCCUCUUGUUGUCCUUCUCUCGUAAGUAAAUGUGAAUUUUCAUUGGUAAUUCAUAAAUUGGUGAAAACGGUUCCAAGAUUUUGCAUAAUUUAACCAAUUAUGCAAAUUGUGGAAUUGUAAUUUAUAUUUAGCCGUUUGUGAUCGAUUUUGUCGUUUCUAAGUUAAAUUCAAAUGAUUUUUUGCAUCAUCUAUGUUUCCAUUAUAUUCAUGAACUUAAAUGCUUUGGGAUUAUUCUAUGUUACGAUGUUACCAACCUUAUACAAAUUUGACAUUUUUCUUUUUUUCUUUAAAUAAAUUGAAGAUCAAAGCAUAAUAAUCGAGGCCAGGGGAGGCAAAGGAUGUAUAGGCAUAUGUUAUAGAUCUCCUACUCCUUCUCCUUCGAUGAUAGAUUCAGAAGAAGGAACCAACAAAGAAUGCAUGGACCAUAAAGGAGUUGGCAGCAAAUGUUCUCCUAAUCCUUCCCCUUCAAUGAUAGAUUCAGAAGAAGAAGUCAACCAAGAAUAUUGGAACAUUGAAGAACAUGAAAGCAAAUGUCAUUGCAAGUGUCCUAAACAUAAACCUCCUACUCCUUCACCUUCAAUGAUAGAUUUAGAUGAAGAAGUCAACCAAGAAUAUAUGGACAUUGAAGAACAUAACAACAAAUGUCAUUGCAAGUGUCAUAAACAUAAACCUCCUACUCCUUCACCUUCAAUGAUAGAUUCAGAAGAAGAAGUCAACCAAGAAUAUUGGGACGUCGAAGAACAUA